rnacentral:antisense_RNA from 1 species
UUCUUCCUUUUGCCUCAUCAAGCACGGGGGACACUGGAAGGAAGAGGCUCCAGGGACCUACGUGACUUCCUAUUCAUGCUGAUCCCACUGAGACCCUUAUCUACCAUGUGCCUCUUGGAUCUGCCUUAUGUUCCAGGAACUAAUGUUCACUGCAGAGAACAUCAGGUUGCAUCAAGGAACAUACAUACACAGAAGUCA